GGAAAAUUUUGGGAUAUUGGAAUUAUCAGGCCCGGAUUAUAUGUUUUGUUUUUGAUACACUCAAGAAAGUAAAAGCAUAUAGUAAAUAUCAUAAAGUUAUAUAAUGUUAAUAAGUAAAAUUUGAAAUAAAUUGCUAGAAAUAAAAAAUGCAAUAAUUAAAAUUAGAAAUUGCUUUCAACAUCAGGUUAGAUUCAGCUAAAGAAAAAGUUUGUGAACUGGAAGUAAAGUAAAAGUAAAGAUUUAAAAUGCCACUUAUACAAAAAGAAGUUAUGUGUAAAAUAAGUGUUUAAAGAUGAAGAAAAUAUAGUGGACAAUAUAGCAUACUUUUUAAAUUGGAGGUUUAGGGGGUGGGAAAUUUUUUUCUUUUAGAUCACAUGGUAAAUGUCUUAGAUGUAUUGGGCCAUAAAGUCUUUACUGGAAAUACUCAAUUCUGCUAUUGUAAUGUUUCUGAAAGCAGUCAUGGAUAAAAGUUUAAACCAGUGAGUCUGGUUAUGUUUUACUAAGACUUCAUUUACAAAAAGGCAACAGCUAUAUUUGACCACCAGCCAUAAUUUGUUAACUGC
rnacentral:lncRNA from 1 species